GAUGAACGCUGGCGGCGUGCCUAAUACAUGCAAGUCGAACGCAGUGGGGACGGGUGAGUAACACGUGGGUAACCUCCCAUCAGAGGGGAUAACACUUGGAAACAGGUGCUAAACCGAUACUGAUGGAUGGACCCGCGGUGAAGUAGCCAGUUGGUGGGGGAACGGCUCACCAAGGCCACGAUGCAUAGCAGGCCUGAAAGGAUGAUCGGCCACAAUGGGACUGAGACACGGCCCAGACUCCUACGGGAGGCGGCAGUAGGGAAUCUUGGGCAAUGGACGAAAGUCUGACCAAGCAACGCCGCGUGAGUGAAGAAGGUUGUCGGAUCGUAAAACUCUGUUAUUAGAGAGGCGGUAUCUACCCAGAAAGCCCCGGCUAACUACGUGCCAGCAGCCGCGGUAAUUC
rnacentral:rRNA from 1 species